rnacentral:rRNA from 1 species
GAGUUUGAUCGUGGCUCAAAUUGGACGCUGGCUCGCUGCUUUACGCAUGCCAGUCAGAACGCACCACACAGAAGCUUGCUUCUUGGGUGGCGAAUGGCGAACGGGUGAGUAACAUAUCUUAACGUACCGAGCACUGCGGGAUAACUGAUCAAACGAUUAACUAAUACCUCGUAUUUUCUGAAGAACAAAGCACGGGACGCAUUUGGCCUUGCGCUGUUUGAGCGGCCGAUAUCUGAUUAUGCUAGUUGGUGGGGUAAAGGCCUACCAAGGCGACUAUCAGUAACGGGUCUGAAAGGAUGAUCCGCCUCACUGGGACUGACACACGGCCCACACUCCUACCGGAGGCCGCCCUGGGGAAUUUUGGAUUAUGGGCCCAAGCCGGAUCCCUCCAUGCCGCGUGUCUGACGAACGCCUUCAGGUUGUAUAGGACUUUUGUCAUGGAAUAAAAGGGCGGGGUUACUACCCCUGUCUGAUGAGGGUACCUGAAGAUUAAGCACCUGCUAAUUAUGUGCCCGCACCCCCGGUACUACCUAUGGUGCGAGCGUUCAUCGGAAUUACUGGGCGUAAAGCGGGCGCAGACAGUUACCUUCGCUUGAUGUGAGAUCCCCCGGCGCAUCCUGUCAACUGCGUUAUGAACUGGGUGACUAGAGUGUGUCAGAGGGAGGUCGAAUUCCACCUGUAGCAGUGAAUUGUGUAGAGAUGUGGAGGAAUACCGAUGGCGAAGGCAGCAUCUUGAGAUAACACUGACGUUCAUGCCUGAAAGAGUGGGUAGCAAACAGGAUUAGAUACGCUGGUAGUCCACGCCUUAAACGAUGUUGAUUAGCUGUUGGGCAGCAUGACUGAUUAGUAGCGAAGAUAACGCGUGAAAUAGACCGCAUGGGGAGUACGGUCGCAAGAUUAAAAGUCAAAGGAAUUGACGGGGACCCGCUCAAGCGGUGGAUGAUACGGAGUAAUUUGAUGCAACGAGAAGAACCUUAUAUAAUCUGGACACGUACGGAACCCUCCAGAGACGGAGGGAUGCGUUUGGGAGCCGUAACACAGAUGUCGCAAGGGUGUCGUCAGGUAGGGUUGUGAGAUGUUGGGCUAAGUCCCGCAACGAGAGCAACCUUUGUCACUAGUUGCCAACAGUAACUUGGGCAGUCUAAUGCGACACCCGGUGACAAGCCGGAGGUAGGCGGGGAAGAACGGCAAGUCGUCAAGGCCGUCUCACGAGCAUGGUCUUACAAAUCAUACAAUUGUUGGUACAUAGGGUAGCCAAGCCUCGAGGAGGAGCCAAUAUCAUAAAACCUAUUAUAGUCCGGAUUGCAAUUUGCAACUCGAGAGCAAGAAGUCGGAAUGGUUCGUAAUGACAGGUCAGCAUAAUGCGGGGAAUACGUUCCCGGUUUUAGCACACACCGCCCGUC